UGGACCAACCUGGAGAGAACACAACAUUAUAUCAGGACCUAUAGACACCUGGACCAACCUGGACAGAACACAACAUUAUAUCAGGACCUAUAGACACCUGGACCAACCUAGAGAGAACACAACAAGAUGAGGAUCCUGCUGAUAGUCAUCCUCCUCUCCUUCAUGACAGGUUGUUUGAGCUCCUUCAAAGUGACAGGAUACUCUGGAGGAACUGUCAUCAUCUACUGUGAAUAUUCAAAUAAGCAUGACAACAAUCAAAAAUAUUUCAGUGAUGGUAACAGCAGGGAUAUAAUCAGAACUGGAUUGAAGAACAGCUGGCAGCACAGUGGUAGAUUCUCUCUGUAUGACAACACAGAUGUACACUGAUGUAGAGCUGAAAGUAGAGGAAGAUGACUGCUGUGAGAAGUCAGUCACAGAGACGGUCUAUCUGGGAGGAGAAGCUACCAUCAGCUGCAACUAUCCAGAGGACCAUGAGGACAGCACCAAGUAUUUCUGCAAGGAAAGCAAAGACUUCAAGACUUGUGUUUAUAUGAUCGCUGCUUACCAGAGAACUGCUAAAGCUGGGCGUUUCUCUGUAUCUGACAACAGAGUGAAAUCCUACUCAGUGACCAUCAGUGACCUGACUGAAGAUGAUACUGGGACCUACUGGUGUGGAAUAGAAACAGGAAAGAGAAAGGAAAGUUACAUCGCACUGAUCACACAGGUGAAGCUACAUG